ACCGGCUGAUUCUACCGAGACACGUCGAAUGAGGAGACUAAUGGCCUAGUAUGUGAUCAUCAACAACCAACUCUCCCAUAGGUCAGCAUUUUUGCCCCUGCUCAAGUGCCUCUGACCCUCCGAAGCCGACUACACUCUUCGAGAGGUGCACGAGGGUAUUUGUGGCAAUCACUUGGGGGCAAAUCAUUCUUCUAUAAGAUAC
rnacentral:lncRNA from 1 species